rnacentral:lncRNA from 1 species
GAAAAGUAAAUAAAUCACUUGAGAGAAGUUCCACAAGGAACCAACUCCAACUUAUCUACACCCCACCCCACCGUGUGUAUACUCAUUCCAUAAUGAAAUAGUUAUGGUUAACAAAGUGGAUAUUUGUUCAGGUUGGUUUCUCCACAAAGAAGGGCCUGAAACCUUAGCACUCUCAUCCACACGACCAUACAUCUAUUGCCUUCAUCCCUCCCCAUACUUCAAGCAAGAAUCAAAGUGAUCCGCCUCCUGGCUCCCCGACUUAGCUGAGAGAAGGUUCAGAUCACACACCCAUCAGAUCUCAGACAGAAGAGAGAGCAAGAAAGAACCGUCUCAGCGUGGGGGAGAUGGGGCCAUACAACCUGUCUGUCCCCAGACAGAAAUGCAAAGCCACCUAGGUGAAUCGCAUGCAGCAAGCAGCAGUCACACCUCGUCCUGGAGAAUGAAUGAAUGGAGGGAGAGGGGCAGCCGGCUACCUCACGGAACAAGAGAGGGUUUAAAUACUCAAUGAGGGCGCCUCUGACCUCAUUAGUAGUGAGAAGCCAGCCACCCGAUCACCCUGGGAGGGUACCUGAUCCUGACCUGGCAGAGGAAGAGAGUAAUUGAGAGAAGAUAGGCCAACCGCUCCCCCAACCCCAACUCUCGCCAAAGACGAAGGCACCUGGUGGCGGAGGGGCAAAGGAGGGGGCAAUCGCGACAGCCCCCACUCCCAAAUUCCUCCCGGGCCCCACCAGCAGCUGCUAGCGCAGUUCUCCCCGAGAACCUCCUGCUGGAGCAUGUGAGAGACAAAGCAAGGGGAAGGAUGGCAAGGGAGGAAAAAACUUUGUUGAGGGAGGGGGCUGCAGACACACGCACACGCGCGGGAGCUCUGCUGCGAGGCCAGUUAAGGGGGGCACUGCAGACACCCAUCUAGAGGAAGGCAUAGGCAGCUGAGGUUGCGGUCCUUCCUCCUUUCCUUCUUCCUCCUCCCCCUCCAGUCCGCCACCUUCCACAGCAUGGGGUCCCAGAGCCACCUCUCCCCCACCCCCACUCCGCUCAGUUCGAACACACCCUGCCUUCCUCACCUCGUAGCCCCUUCCCCGCCGCCGCUACCGCCGAGGGCGAGCCAGGAUGGCCCAGCCAGUCCACUCCCGCGCCGGUCCCACGGCUGCGUCCCUCUUCUCCCACUCUACCCGAGGCUCUCAAGGCAGCUGCCGCACCCCCCGCCCCCAGCGCCGCGCCCCCACCCAGUUCCGCGGCCCCGCCCAGCCCCGCCUUCGCCCCCCUCCCCCUCACCUCCCCACCUACCUCGGCCGCUGUCCCGCGAUUGGUGACACGAGCCAGCAACAUCGCGCAGGGAAGACUCGGGCCCAACUCUGGCGGCGUCAUAAGAAGUCUAAGCUCCGCCCACCUUCGAGCGUGGGAGGAAAAGCCCCCGGGCUUCCGCGCACUGGGUCCUAGAGAGCGCGCCGUGGUAGGGGUGGGGGUGGGGGUGGGGGUGGGGGCGGGGGAGAGGAGGUGGAAAGCGUGCAUGUCCAACGGGGAUGGGGGAAGGCGGGAGGAGACUAGACUCCCCCUCUGCACAGGUUGGGAUGGAAGACAUCGUUCCCUCUCCGAGACUAGGACUGCCUCCUGAUGAAUGACUUUCUGGGAAUCAGUGACCAUCCUUGUGAAACUACCUGCAAAAUCCCAAUGGACUUUUUUUUUCACUUUCUCUCACUAUUUAGGACUCCCCUUUUACCUUUUCUUUUAUCCUAUCUUCCAGACUACAUCAAGGUUAGGGGAAAUAGCAUGGCAAGAAAGGGAUCUCGUCCUCUAACCAAGAGCAAUAAUGGCAACAUAGAAAGAAGCACGUGGCCAUGGUAGACAUGUUUAUAUACAGAAUGAGAGAAUAUAUUAUGGACAAUGUUUAUGAACCCCUACAAGGAGGUAUAUUUCCCAAGUUAGCUUGUGCCUUGAAGAAAGAAGCAUACAAUGUUCAUGGUUUUGAUCGAGUCCUAUUUGGAGAGCUAAGCAAAGAUAGUCCACUAAUGCAUGUUUGAUGAGCAGGGAAUAGAGCAAUCUACAAAUUAUGUUGACCUUCAAGGGGAGUUGAAACCACUGUGUGGUACUGUAAGUCUUGAGGAGACUGGGAAAGAGGGAAUCACAAAAAACACUGGGUUGCCCUUAUAGCAACCUCCAAGUGCAGUUCAUUGAUACAUUUGGUGAGAUAAAUGUGCCAUAGAGAAAAACUGAUAUUUGGGGGUCAUCUCCCCAAACCAAAACAAGGCAGAAUCUUGGGUAAGAGGGACACCAGAGCUAGAAUUAUAUAAAUAAAUUUCUACUCUGAAACCUCA